UCUUUGCUUGCUUGCGGUGAAAGGCCAGUGGACAGCAAGGCUUUGGGACACUAAGUUGCUGCUGUGCUUGAUGAGUAUGGCAGUAAUGAUGAAGGACUGGCUACUUCAUGUUGCACUACAGAGCUUACAAGGAAAAAGAAAAGCCUAGAUUUGGCCUGAUGCUUGAAUCCAUCACUGACUAUCAAUUUCUCAAUUCAGAAGGUAGAGAAUAAAAGCACUUGAAAAUAUGAGUGAAUUUCUGCAAAGGAGGCAGUGCUGCAGAUCUAACUACCUUGACAUGCGAAAGGAAUAUACGACAACAAAAAGCAUUCUAAGUUGUAAACAACCAGCCCCUUCUGUGAAGAAUAUUGGUAGGAAAUCCAGGCACCGUCUCUUGGAUUGCCCUGGUGGCCGCCACGAAGGGGUCUGGCCAGUAGCAACAUCUGCUGGGUCCCUGCUCUGUUUGGAGCGUGGCCAGAUUCUACCAGAGUGGUUAGGGAUUCCCUGUCGUCAUUUAGGAGCCUGAAGCAUCUUUGCAGUGUUGGAGAGGUGGCUGCAGCCUCAGGUUUCAGGAUGCUUCCAGAACACCGCCACAGAAGUGGGCCAUCGGAACUACCACCUCAGUCACAAUCUGGAAGAUGCAAAAUCAAGAAGUCACUGCUCCGGGUCUACCAAAGUUAAAUGUAUGCAUGCUCUCCAGCCCAGAAAUAUUGUACAUAUGUUCACUAAAAGCCUUUCAUUGGCAUGUUCAUAGCAGUACUACUCAGAAUAGCCCCCCAAAUGACCAUCAACAGUGGAAGGGAUACACAAAUUGUUAUAGUCACAUAACUAUAUGGCAAUGAGAAUAAAUAAUCUACGACAAUAAGCAACAA